rnacentral:rRNA from 1 species
GAGCAUAACUGAUUCCUGAUGACGUCUCUAGAAGACAUCUGAAGGAGAUUAAAGAUUUGUCGGUGAUGGAUGGGGAUGCGUCUGAUUAGCUUGUUGGCGGGGUAACGGCCCACCAAGGCGACGAUCAGUAGGGGUUCUGAGAGGAAGGUCCCCCACAUUGGAACUGAGACACGGUCCAAACUCCUACGGGAGGCAGCAGUGAGGAAUAUUGGUCAAUGGACGAGAGUCUGAACCAGCCAAGUAGCGUGCAGGAUGACGGCCCUAUGGGUUGUAAACUGCUUUUAUAAGGGAUAAAGUGAGCUACGUGUAGCUUUUUGCAUGUACCUUAUGAAUAAGGACCGGCUAAUUU